rfam:[Oscillatoria] sp. PCC 6506, WGS project CACA01000000 data, contig: Contig87
GGGAGUGUAGCUCAACGGAUAGAGCGCCACGCUUCGGACGUGGAUGUUGUGGGUUCAAUUCCUACCACUCUCG